UGGGAGCUUGGGAUUUUACUUCUAGAGCUUGUAAUAUGACAGCUAGUACUCAAAGCUGUCAUGAAUCUGAAUGUAAAUGUGGCGAAUGGUAGCUUUUCAGUGAUCCAAACAGCUUCACACUCCAGUUAAUCCUCGGUUUGAAGUCUUCUGUCUGACUCAGAAAGGUUUUAUCACAGUGGAAACAAUCAAGAAAAAAUGUAAACCACACACACUGCUUUAUUUUUAGCAGUGGGUGUACUAAAUACUUAAAGGGAUAGUUCACACCAAAACAACAAUUAACUAUCCCUUUAAGACAAUUUAAUCAGAGUUUUAUGGCACUGAACGCGUGUGUAAAACCUUUUAAUAACUUAUGAGAAUUUGAAUGUUCCAUUUUAGUAUGUGUGAAUUUACAGCUGUUGACAGAAAACUCUCAACUGAACCAUUGAAUAAACUAAUAUUUUGAAGUA